CAGUCGCCGCGGUAAUACGUAGGGUGCGAGCGUUAAUCGGAAUUACUGGGCGUAAAGCGUGCGCAGGCGGUUCGUUAAGACAGAUGUGAAAUCCCCGGGCUUAACCUGGGAACUGCAUUUGUGACUGGCGAGCUAGAGUAUGGCAGAGGGGGGUAGAAUUCCACGUGUAGCAGUGAAAUGCGUAGAGAUGUGGAGGAAUACCGAUGGCGAAGGCAGCCCCCUGGGCCAAUACUGACGCUCAUGCACGAAAGCGUGGGGAGCAAACAGGAUUAGAUACCCCCGUAGUCCCUGUCUCUUAUAC
rnacentral:rRNA from 1 species